UUUAAUUUUUGUAGAAUAUCCGUUCCUUUGUAAUGUAUAUAUAACCAUCGAUUUUUGUUGGUGGAUAAUUUGGUCGGUGAGAACUUCAUAGGUCUAUCAUACGUGAACCAUCUAUAUGUAGGUAGUUGAAUUAAAGUGACGUGGUAUAAAUUACAUUUAUUUUAUAUAUUCUUAAACCUGAUCACGGACAUUAUAUUUUUUGAAACGCGUAUCAAUUAUAUAGUAUUACGUAGAACACAAUGAAAUGCAAUGUUGUAUUGCUGGCAGUAUAUGAAAGCAUGCGUUCAUUGCAAACCAUAAAUAAUUAUGACUUUUUUCGUCUAAACAUAAACGUAAAUACUUCUCACUACUUCUAAAUAUCAGUUUUGGCGGACGUUUAUAAAUUCUAGUAUGUCAAUGUUCUCAAUGUGUAAAUGUUCUCUAGACUGGAUAUUCAUUACGAACUGCAUAAACAACAUAGAAUACUGUAAAGUUGAUCCAUGCUGCUCUAGUGCUGAAUAUAUAACAAUGUUUUAUGUGUAACAAUAGAAUUGAGAAUAAAAUUAAUGUUGAAAUGACAGAAAUUAUCAAUAAACUAACAUGUGUGUAGACUGAAAAAUCACGAACAAACUUGUCGCAGCCCCGCAAAGCUACUCAGAU
rnacentral:lncRNA from 1 species